GAUGAACGCUGGCGGCGUGCCUAAUACAUGCAAGUCGAGCGAACGGACGAGAAGCUUGCUUCUCUGAUGUUAGCGGCGGACGGGUGAGUAACACGUUCAUAACCUACCUAUAAGACUGGGAUAACUUCGGGAAACCGGAGCUAAUACCGGAUAAUAUUUUGAACCGCAUGGUUCAAAAGUGAAAGACGGUCUUGCUGUCACUUAUAGAUUGAUCCGAGCUGCAUUAGCUAGUUGGUAAUGUAACGGCUUACCAAGGCAACGAUGCAUAGCCGACCUGAAAGGGUGAUCGGACACAUUGCAACAGAGACACGGUGCAGACUCCUACGGGAGGCAGACGUAGGCAAUCUUCCGCAAUGGGCGAAAGCCUGACGGAGCAACACAGCGUUAGUGAUGACGGUCUUAGGAUCGUAAAACUUUGUUAUUUGGGAAGAAAAUAUCUGAAAGUGACUGUGCACAUCUUGACGGUACCUAAUCAGAAAGCCACGGCUAACUACGUG
rnacentral:rRNA from 1 species